UGCCAGUGAGGAGAGCAAGCAUUCAUUCUGUCUUACCCCUGUUCUAGCCCCAGAGCCAGUAAUGGUGAACCCACUGGGGCUAACUGGGAGAGGGGAUGAAAGCGUGUUCCAUAAGGAAGUGUCUGAGGUGC